rnacentral:rRNA from 1 species
UUGAGCGGAGAUUAUGGAGCUUGCUUUAUAUAACUUAGCAGCGAACGGGUGAGUAACACGUAGAUAAUCUAUCCUAUACUGGGGGAUAGCCCGAUGAAAGUUGGAUUAAUACCGCAUAUAGCUAUAUAGUUGCAUGAUUAUGUAGUGAAAGAUUUAUUGGUAUAGGAGGAGUCUGCGGCACAUUAGCUAGUAGGUGAGGUAAAGGCUUACCUAGGCGACGAUGUGUAGCCGGUCUGAGAGGAUGAACGGCCACAAUGGAACUGAGACACGGUCCAUACUCCUACGGGAGGCAGCAGUGGGGAAUAUUGCACAAUGGGGGAAACCCUGAUGCAGCAACGCCGCGUGAGUGAAGAAGGUUUUCGGAUUGUAAAGCUCUGUUAGCAGGGAAGAGGAAGGACGGUACCUGCAGAGGAAGCCACGGCUAACUACGUGCCAGCAGCCGCGGUAAUACGUAGGUGGCAAGCGUUGUUCGGAAUAACUGGGCGUAAAGGAUGCGUAGGCGGUUAAACAAGUUAUAUGUUAAAUAUAUAGGCUUAACCUGUAGAAAGCAUAUAAAACUGUUUAACUAGAGUGCAGGAGAGGUAAGUGGAAUUCCUAGUGUAGCGGUGAAAUGCGUAGAGAUUAGGAAGAACACCAGUGGCGAAGGCGACUUACUGGACUGUAACUGACGCUGAGGCAUGAGAGCAUGGGGAGCAAACAGGAUUAGAUACCCUGGUAGUCCAUGCUGUAAACGAUGGGUACUAGGUGUGGGGUUGUGAAUAACAAU